rnacentral:rRNA from 1 species
CACGUAGGGGGCGAGCGUUGUCCGGAUUUAUUGGGCGUAAAGGGCUCGUAGGCGGCCAACUAAGUCGGACGUGAAAUCCCCAGGCUCAACCUGGGAACUGCGUCCGAUACUGGAUGGCUUGAAUUCGGGAGAGGGAUGCAGAAUUCCAGGUGUAGCGGUGAAAUGCGUAGAUAUCUGGAGGAAUACCGGUGGCGAAGGCGGCAUCCUGGACCGACAUUGACGCUGAUGAGCGAAAGCCAGGGGAGCAAACGGG